GACGAACGCUGGCGGCGUGCUUAACACAUGCAAGUCGAACGGAAAGGCCCUGCUUUUGUGGGGUGCUCGAGUGGCGAACGGGUGAGUAACACGUGAGUAACCUGCCCUUGACUUUGGGAUAACUUCAGGAAACUGGGGCUAAUAUCGGAUAGGAGCUCCUGCUGCAUGGUGGGGGUUGGAAAGUUUCGGCGGUUGGGGAUGGACUCGCGGCUUAUCAGCUUGUUGGUGGGGUAGUGGCUUACCAAGGCUUUGAAGGGUAGCCGGCCUGGGAGGGGGACCGGGCACAUUGGGACUGAGAUACGGCCCAGACGCGUACGGGAGGCAGCAGUGGGGAAUAUUGCACAAUGGGCGGAAGCCUGAUGCAGCAACGCCGCGUGCGGGAUGACGGCCUUCGGGUUGUAAACCGCUUUCGCCUGUGACGAAGCGUGAGUGACGGUAAUGGGUAAAGAAGCACCGGCUAACUACGUG
rnacentral:rRNA from 1 species